GAUGCCCGCUCUAGACGUGGGAUUUGUUUAGGUUUCCAAACAGGAACCAAAGGCUAUGUGGUUUUUGACAUCAACAACAAAGAAAUUUUUGUAUCACGCAAUGUUACAUUUAAUGAGACGUUUUUUCCUUUUUCAGUACCUUGUCCAGCUUCACCAUCCACUACCAAUGUACUCCCAGACCACGACACUAGUCCAAUUCAUAUUCAAACCCUUCCAGAAUUUGCAAUAGACUAUUCCAACCACCCUCCCUUUGAAUCACCCACUCACCAUGAGCCUAUAAACUCCCCAGAUUCCACUCUUUGCCCUAGCUUACCUUCUCCAUCCUAAAUCAGUGAUCUUCCUUCACCGCACCAUCAACCCUCUCCCUCACCACCACCACCAAAUUCCCCUCCACCUCCGCGACAUUCAACCCGGGUCACUACUUGCCCAAGCUAUCUUGAUGAUUAUUAUUGCAACAUUUCUUCCAGUGAUUUGGCUAUUGUUCCAAAGGAUUAUAACCAAUCCCCUUCAAAGAUCUUGUAUCCUCUCGAGUCUAUUGUCACUCA
rnacentral:lncRNA from 1 species